CUCUCUCUCUCUCUCUCUCUCAACGUAACAAGCUUGGAGAGAGAAAGGUAAAAGUAAUAACUCUCAGUAACGAAGGGUGUUAAAACUCGAACAUUUUUCAAAACUCUCCCCCACACACUAUAAAUCAAGAAGGGAGAGACUGGAAGACAACUGGGGAAACUUGAAAUAAGACGUGAAGAGAGAAAUAAAGAUCGAACAGCGCUGUUGGGAAAUGGGAAUUAAGGCAAAAACUGAGAAAGGUACAGAGAAAGAGCGUGUGUGGGGGCAUGAGGUUGAAUUGAAGUAAUUAUUUACUUCUACGAAAAAAUAAAAAAAAAAUCUCUUUGACACAA
rnacentral:misc_RNA from 1 species